GAUGAACGCUGGCGGCGUGCCUAAUACAUGCAAGUCGAGCGAACAGACGAGGAGCUUGCUCCUCUGACGUUAGCGGCGGACGGGUGAGUAACACGUGGAUAACCUACCUAUAAGACUGGGAUAACUUCGGGAAACCGGAGCUAAUCCCGGAUAAUAUAUUGAACCGCAUGGUUCAAUAGUGAAAGACGGUUUUGCUGUCACUUAUAGAUGGAUCCGCGCCGCAUUAGCUAGUUGGUAAGUUAACGGCUUACCAAGGCGACGAUGCGUAGCCGACCUGAGAGGGUGAUCGGCCACACUGGAACUGAGACACGGUCCAGACUCCUACGGGAGGCAGCAGUAGGGAAUCUUCCGCAAUGGGCGAAAGCUUGACGGAGCAACGCCGCGUGAGUGAUGAAGGUCUUCGGAUCGUAAAACUCUGUUAUUAGGGAAGAACAAAUGUGUAAGUAACUAUGCACGUCUUGACGGUACCUAAUCAGAAAGCCACGGCUAACUACGUG
rnacentral:rRNA from 1 species